GGAGCCCUUCCUGGCGAACAAAGGAAGCGCCCCCCGGGCUGCAGAGGCGGUGGGGGGGUGGUGGAGUAGUGGUGGGGUGGGUGGAGGGACUUGGGACUGUUCUGAGAAGAGUGGGACUUGUUUACUAGAGAACCAGCCUGUGACUCCUGGGGAAAGGGGGUGGAGAGGGGGAAAAUACGGGAGAGAGUGAGGCAACUGGGGCUCAAAACAGUCAAAUUCAAAUUAAAAGGUCAAGACACGAUUCAGCUUGGCCCCUGGGCCUGGGAGCUUCGGACCACAAGUCUUGGAGAUUAACUGAGUUGCAAGUUCAUUGUGGGGACUGAGAAUCUCCAGUGUUUGGAGUGGGCCCGGGAACGGCUCGGCUCACGGCCAUCUCAGGCAAAAAGAGAACCCCGGUGGAUUUAGGGAUCCCUGGAGGAGGAAGCUGAAGAUUAGAGGUACCCUUUCUCCAGCCCUGAAGUUGCUUGCAGUCUGGGCCUAACUGGAUGAACAACUCCGGCCACUGGGCUUUGGCCUUGGGGCCGGCUUAGUAGGGUGUUUUGCUUCAUGCCCCAGCGGCUGUCGUUUUCCGCUUGACCUUGCCCUUACUAAAACAAGGAAUAUUUCUGAAUAUAACCUGUAGGCCUUAGCUGGGUUGGAGGAUUGGUGUAUGUAUGCAUGCAGAAAAGGAGCACAAGACGCAGUUAAAUCUCAUCCGCGAGAAGAGUUCUUUUAAAGCGAUAGGUCUGGGAGUAUGUUUUAGAGAAGAGGGGGCGGUCUAGUGUGUGUGUGUGUGUGUGUGUGUGUGUGUGUGUGUGUGUGUUUAUUAAAGGGAAAACGCAGGGAGAAAUGUGUGUUUAAAAUAGUUCGUUCGAUUUCUCCAUCACCUUUCUUCCAAAGCGAACUAAACUCUCCACCCCUUCCUCAGGAAACGGAAUCCGGAGAAUAACUUGUCUUUCCGGUAGCCCCGCAUUUUUCCCCAGGCAGAGGCUGUGGACUUUCCUUUUUCCGAAGGACCAGAGCCUGGCUGGGAAAGGAUUCCUGGGCCUGACGCACCGGCAUGGAUGAGAGAAGAAGCUGGACCGAUUUCUGGAGGCCCUAGCCGGCUGUGAUGGAAGAAGACUAAGGAAAGAAUUGUGCCCCGAAUUCCCCCAACCAGGAGAAGAAGACCCAGGGGUCCCUUAAUUCCAGGGGCGGGGGGGGGGAAUCGAAAGAUCCGUGGAGUUUGUGACUUAUUUGCAACUGGCAGGGAAGAUCUGAAAUAGUUUUAUGUUUUCGUUUGCAGGGGUCACCCUGGAUUCAGCCUGGGGGUUAUCCAGGGCAAGGUUAGGCUGUUUAGGCCCCAGACCAGACUUGGGACAGUCCCCAGCAGCAGUCAAUCGAGGGAGCCAUUUGUUCCACUGACCAUCCCGCGGGAAACAGCCGAGACUUUAUGGCCACUCUGUUUGUAUUAUCUGCAUAAGUCUUUCCCCACGAGUUUGAUCGAAACCGUUCCCUUUUACGAGGACCCAAAGAAAAUUUCCCGUCAUAUUUAUCAGCUGGGGAUAAAAAUUUAGUAUGGGAACUGAUAUUUCCUCAUUUAUGGGACGAUGAAAUUAAAGACCAAAGCAAUUGAGAAUUAUAUGGCUUUGGGGGUUCCCUCCCCCUCUUUCACAUCUCUUUAUUUCCCUCCAUGGUGUGCCUGUCCCUGGAGUCUGUCCUCUCAAAACCCUGCCCUUGUCCCCUGUUUUGGAGGCUGGUAGGGCUCUUUCUCCAACAGCCAGGUGCAGCUGGGCUACCAUAGCUCUUCCCAGCUUUUAUCUCAAGGACCGGAGGAACUAGGGAAGGGACAGUGUCUCCAUGUAGAACACGGUGUGCUGGCUGGAGAGGAGGUUUUGAGGGAAGAGCUUUGCAGGGGACAGUGGGAUUGGAACCCAGCCUCAGAUACUGAGAGUCAGAAAAUUAAGUCAACAAAUUCUAGAAUAAUCCUCAAACAACAUGCUCCCUCACAGCAACUGGCCGGCUAGCAAGAGAGAAGCAAAGUCAUUCAGCUUCUGGGCCUCUCUUCCCUACCAGCCAGAACCCCCCCCCCAACCCAAGCCUACCUCUAACCUCAGCCAUGGGAGGGAAGGGAGUUGCUUCAGGAUUCUUACCAUUAUGAGUGGAAAUAAUACCCUUAGGAGAAAAGCUUCCUGCUUCAACUCCCACCUCCUCACAAGAACGAAUAGUGUUUAAAGUUGAAAUAAUUAGAAGUAUGAUAAACACGGCCCAUUAAUGAAACAAGAAAUCAAAUUCAUCAGCCUAAGUGGGACCCCCGUUGGGACAAAUGUUUGCCUCUAAUUACUCAAGAUAAACGAAAACCCAGUGCUGUUAAGCAAGAGCCUUCUGGCUUGCUCGGACGCAGACGUGACUAACUUGUUGGCUUUCCCAAGACUUUGGGAUCUAACUUAAAGGAGGAACAAUUCGCUUUUCUUCCAGAGUACCACUUGAAUUGAGAGCAGGGGAACUCCAAGCAAAAAGUGGAAUGCUCAGAGGUUCAAGGGGAAAGGGUUUCAAACAGGUAAAAGAGGAUAAAGACAGGCCGGAUCCAUGACUCCUCAUUCCAGUUGCUCCAGCUUGAAGUUGACCUUCCGCCUUCAGCCUCAGCUCAGCUCAGCUCAGCUCCUCACAAGGCGAAGUGUACAACAGUCAGCCAGCAGAGGUGGCCAGGCCUCAGAGUCGCCAUUAGAGAGAAGGGAAUGCCGACUCAGAGGCACCUCCCAUCCAUGCCAAAGGCUCCUUGAAAUGCCAGGCUCCAGGGGUUCCAUGUCAUCUUCAUUUCCAGCAUGCUAAAGAAACUUGGUCCAUCAGAUCCAUAAUUAAAGAAAAGCUCCCUUAUCUUUGUUCUGACUCCAGCACUGAGAUUAAAUAGACUAAAGUUGAGCCUGUUUGUGCUCUCAGCGCUAGAGUUAGAAGAAGUGAGAGUGAGGGUCUGUCAGUUAC
rnacentral:lncRNA from 1 species